rnacentral:rRNA from 1 species
CGCGUAGGAAUCUACCCAGUAGCGGGGGAUAAGCCAGAGAAAUUUGGUCUAAUACCGCAUACGCCCUUCGGGGAAAAGCAGGGGAUCUUCGGACCUUGCACUAUUGGAUGAGCCUGCGUGAGAUUAGCUAGUUGGUGAGGUAAUGGCUCACCAAGGCGACGAUCUCUAGCUGGUCUGAGAGGAUGAUCAGCCACACUGGAACUGAGACACGGUCCAGACUCCUACGGGAGGCAGCAGUGGGGAAUAUUGCACAAUGGGCGCAAGCCUGAUGCAGCCAUGCCGCGUGUGUGAAGAAGGCCC